ACUUAAAUUGAAGAGUUUGAUCAUGGCUCAGAUUGAACGCUGGCGGCAGGCCUAACACAUGCAAGUCGAGCGGUAGCACAGAGAGCUUGCUCUCGGGUGACGAGCGGCGGACGGGUGAGUAAUGUCUGGGAAACUGCCUGAUGGAGGGGGAUAACUACUGGAAACGGUAGCUAAUACCGCAUAAUGUCGCAAGACCAAAGUGGGGGACCUUCGGGCCUCAUGCCAUCAGAUGUGCCCAGAUGGGAUUAGCUAGUAGGUGGGGUAACGGCUCACCUAGGCGACGAUCCCUAGCUGGUCUGAGAGGAUGACCAGCCACACUGGAACUGAGACACGGUCCAGACUCCUACGGGAGGCAGCAGU
rnacentral:rRNA from 1 species